CCGGCACGGGUGAGUAACACGUAUCCAACCUGCCGUCUACUCUUGGACAGCCUUCUGAAAGGAAGAUUAAUACAAGAUGGCAUCAUGAGCCCACAUGUUCACAUGAUUAAAGGUAUCCCGGUAGACGAUGGGGAUGCGUUCCAUUAGAUAGUAGGCGGGGUAACGGCCCACCUAGUCUUCGAUGGAUAGGGGUUCUGAGAGGAAGGUCCCCCACAUUGGAACUGAGACACGGUCCAA
rnacentral:rRNA from 1 species